rnacentral:rRNA from 1 species
UACGGAGGGUGCAAGCGUUUUCCGGAUUUAUUGGGUUUAAAGGGUGCGUAGGCGGGAUAUUAAGUCAGUGGUGAAAGCCUUCAGCUCAACUGAAGGACUGCCAAUGAUACUGGUAUUCUGGAGUACAGACGAGGUAGGCGGAAUUUAUGGUGUAGCGGUGAAAUGCAUAGAUACCAUAAAGAACACCGAUAGCGAAGGCAGCUUACCAGGCUGUAACUGACGCUGAGGCACGAAAGCGUGGGGAGCGAACAGG